rnacentral:lncRNA from 1 species
GAAGAGGUCUCCGCCCCUUAAAUGGUGGAGAGCCCGGCCUGUCCUGCCCCCGGCUGCUCCUCUCCUCCUUCCCGGUGCCACUCCCUCGGACCACCCCCACAUUUCCAAGUAGCACAGAAAUUACUUCUGUUUCUAACACGGCUCAAUCCGAGGUACCUGUGAAGGCUGCAGCUCCAGCCUGACUCCUUCCAUCCCCACAGCUCCCCUGCCCUGAGACAGCCUCCGGUGCUUCUGCUGUGUCCCAGGAAACAAGCCUGAAGCAAGCACUCACCAUCCCUCAAGAAUGUGCCCUGACCCACCUUCCUCACCACGGUGGCAUCAGGGCCAGAUCCUGCCUGUGACCCACACGGAGAUCUCCCCAGAACAGCAGUUCGACAGAAGUGUACAGAGGCUUCUGGCAACACGGAUUGCCGUCUACCUGAUGACCUUUCUCAUCGUGACAGUGGCCUGGGCAGCACACACAAGGUUGUUCCAAGUUGUUGGGAAAACAGACGACACACUUGCCCUGCUCAACCUGGCCGCAUCAUGGCUGUGAUGCCCUCCCUCCUUCCAGGCCUGCAUGAUGACCAUCACCUUCCUGCCUUACACGUUUUCGUUAAUGGUGACCUUCCCUGAUGUGCCUCUGGGCAUCUUCUUGUUCUGUGUGUGUGUGAUCGCCAUCGGGGUCGUGCAGGUCACACAGGUAGGGUUCCUGAGGCCACCUACACACAUAGGAUGUGGCAUGCCCAGAGUCCCCGCUUUCUGACCAGAGACUGGGAAGAGUGGGCCCUGAGACCCCCCACAUGCGGCCCCAGGAGCCAGCAGGGGCUCCUGUUCUCUCUCCACCUCAGCCCGUGCCCAAAGCGUCCCAGGUACAAGCCCACCUCUACCCGCCAGGUCCUCC